rnacentral:lncRNA from 1 species
AUUAACACGUUCCAGCAUAACUAUGUAUUUUUCCUUUAACAUUUGUUACUGAAGGAAACAAUAACAGAACAACUGGAGGUAAUUGAGUCCACCUAUGAAAAACUGCACCUACUUGUGAACAAGGACUGGAAACGCCUUCCUCAGAGUGCAGGAGAAAAGGCUCAUGAGAAGCUGAAGAGACUAAUUGACGAUGUAGGGAUUCUUUUAAAGGAGAAUAUAAAGGGCCCGAGGCAAAGGUUUGAAGAUCUCCCUUCUCAGACACAGCCACCUGAACCUGACUUGAAACACUUCCACCCUGGAAAGAAAAUUGCUGUGGAGACAGAGUUACAGGGACAUAAAGGUAACUGAAUGGGCCUGGUGUCUGUGCAUCAGGAUUUGGGGGUUACAGAGUUACCAGGCUAGAU